rnacentral:rRNA from 1 species
ACACAUGCAGUCGAGCGGAUGAAGGAGCUUGCUCCUGGAUUCAGCGGCGGACGGGUGAGUAAUGCCUAGGAAUCUGCCUGGUAGUGGGGGACAAUGUUUCGAAAGGAACGCUAAUACCGCAUACGUCCUACGGGAGAAAGCAGGGGACCUUCGGGCCUUGCGCUAUCAGAUGAGCCUAGGUCGGAUUAGCUAGUUGGUGAGGUAAUGGCUCACCAAGGCGACGAUCCGUAACUGGUCUGAGAGGAUGAUCAGUCACACUGGAACUGAGACACGGUCCAGACUCCUACGGGAGGCAGCAGUGGGGAAUAUUGGACAAUGGGCGAAAGCCUGAUCCAGCCAUGCCGCGUGUGUGAAGAAGGUCUUCGGAUUGUAAAGCACUUUAAGUUGGGAGGAAGGGUUGUAGAUUAAUACUCUGCAAUUUUGACGUUACCGACAGAAUAAGCACCGGCUAACUCUGUGCCAGCAGCCGCGGUAAUACAGAGGGCGCAAGCGUUAAUCGGAAUUACUGGGCGUAAAGCGCGCGUAGGUGGUUUGUUAAGUUGGAUGUGAAAUCCCCGGGCUCAACCUGGGAACUGCAUCCAAAACUGGCAAGCUAGAGUAUGGUAGAGGGUGGUGGAAUUUCCUGUGUAGCGGUGAAAUGCGUAGAUAUAGGAAGGAACACCAGUGGCGAAAGCGACCACCUGGACUGAUACUGACACUGAGUGCGAAAGCGUGGGGAGCAAACAGGA